UGUUUGAUACCCAGAGUUAUUGGACACAUGUCUGAAUGUCACGCUGUAGGCACGCUUGUUGUUCCAGAGUGGAAGUCGUCUGCUUUUUGGCCAAUAUUGUGCUCACAGUCUCGGUACAUAUCACAAGUGAAAGAUUGCAUAUAUCUGCCAAGAUCAAAAGAAGCAUAUGUUGCUAGUAGAAUAAGAGGAGGUCUGUUUGGUGAACAUGAUUUGCAUUUCAACAUGCUAGCAUUGUUGCUUGAUUUUCGUUAAUGUUGAUGUACCUGUUACAGGUGUGUUUCACGACGUUUAUCAAGAUGAGAUUGGUUGUCUCCCUUCCCAUGUUCGGGAUCUCGCAUAUGAACUGCCUGAUUUAAUAUCUCAUGCAAGAGCUGAGUCCACAACAAAGAAGUAUAGUAUGGGUUAUGCAGCAUGGAAAAGGGGUAUGUUUCCUGCUGGCUGAAGAGCCAUGAGAAUACUUGGGUUCUCUACAUUGUAAAUAAGUGUGAAUAGAAUCUUGACAAGAAUUAUACAGACGGUGGUUUGUAUUGGUGCUGAAGAGCCGUUAUAAUACUGCAUGCAUGCAAUUUAUGUGUUUGUGCCUGCUAAGAGCUGAAGAGCUGUUAUGAUAUCUUAAGAUUGAAUGAAAUAAAUGUGGAAUUUUGGUUGAGGAGCCAUUAUAAUACCGUGUUGAUAAUGAAUGGAUGUUAUGUCCUAGUUGGAGAUAAGAGCCGUUCUAUCAUGUGUUUUCAGCGCUGAAAAGCCGCUGUGAUACUGUGUUCAGAUUGAAUUAACUCGGUUGUAUUCCGGGCUGAAGAGCCGUUAUAAUACUAUGUUGGGAUUGAACGACUUGUGUAAUAUGGGCUGAAGAGCCGUUAUAAUACUGUUAUAAUAACGAUGGAUUGAGGUUGAGAUUGUAUUUAAUGUACAUAUUUGUGCUUUACACAGUUACUGUAAACCCUCCAGUCAUGUGCUGCUGCAUCGUUGAGGGAACACGGUUCCAGAGUUUUUCUUUAAAAGUUUAUCUCUGGUUUUACGUGUCGGGCUUCGGCAUGGUGUAUCUGUAACUUGUCAUGCGUGGUAUAUGCGUGGUGUAAAUAAGUAUCUUACAGGUAAACUACAAUGGGAUGAUGAUGAUGACUAUGAUGAUGGUGGUUAAUGUAAUAAAUCUCGGCCGUGUAGCGCACAGCGAGCCCUGUGUUGAUA